rnacentral:rRNA from 1 species
GAUGAACGCUGGCGGCGUGCCUAAUACAUGCCAGUCGAGCGAACAGACGAGGAGCUUGCUCCUCUGACGUUAGCGGCGGACGGGUGAGUAACACGUGGAUAACCUACCUAUAAGACUGGGAUAACUUCGGGAAACCGGAGCUAAUACCGGAUAAUAUAUUGAACCGCAUGGUUCAAUAGUGAAAGACGGUUUUGCUGUCACUUAUAGAUGGAUCCGCGCCGCAUUAGCUAGUUGGUAAGGUAACGGCUUACCAAGGCAACGAUGCGUAGCCGACCUGAGAGGGUGAUCGGCCACACUGGAACUGAGACACGGUCCAGACUCCUACGGGAGGCAGCAGUAGGGAAUCUUCCGCAAUGGGCGAAAGCCUGACGGAGCAACGCCGCGUGAGUGAUGAAGGUCUUCGGAUCGUAAAACUCUGUUAUUAGGGAAGAACAAAUGUGUAAGUGACUAUGCACGUCUUGACGGUACCUAAUCAGAAAGCCACGGCUAACUACGUG